rnacentral:rRNA from 1 species
UACGUAGGGUGCGAGCGUUGUCCGGAAUUAUUGGGCGUAAAGAGCUCGUAGGCGGUCUGUCGCGUCGGCUGUGAAAACUCGGGGCUCAACCCCGAGCCUGCAGUCGAUACGGGCAGACUAGAGUGCUGUAGGGGAGACUGGAAUUCCUGGUGUAGCGGUGAAAUGCGCAGAUAUCUGGAGGAACACCGGUGGCGAAGGCGGCAUCCUGGACCGAUACUGACGCUGAGGAGCGAAAGCCAGGGGAGCAAACGGG